CGAGACGACGCUGGCGGCGUGCCUAACACAUGCAAGUCGAGCGAGGAGAUUCCUUCGGGAUGAUCCUAGCGGCGGACGGGUGAGUAACACGUGGGCAACCUGCCUCAUAGAGAGGAAUAGCCUUCCGAAAGGGAGAUUAAUACCUCAUAACAUUGCAGUUUCGCAUGGAACAGCAAUUAAAGGAGCAAUCCGCUAUGAGAUGGGCCCGCGGCGCAUUAGCUAGUUGGUGAGGUAACGGCUCACCAAGGCGACGAUGCGUAGCCGACCUGAGAGGGUGAUCGGCCACAUUGGGACUGAGACACGGCCCAGACUCCUACGGGAGGCAGCAGUGGGGAAUAUUGCACAAUGGGGGAAACCCUGAUGCAGCCAACGCCGCGUGAGUGAUGACGGCCUUCGGGUUGUAAAGCUCUGUCUUCAGGGACGAUAAUGACGGUACCUGAGGAGGAAGCCACGGCUAACUACGUGCCAGCAGCUGC
rnacentral:rRNA from 1 species